rnacentral:rRNA from 1 species
UACGAAGGGUGCAGGCGUUAAUCGGAAUUACUGGGCGUAAAGGGUGCGUAGGCGGUUCGUUAAGUCUGUCGUGAAAUCCCCGGGCUCAACCUGGGAAUGGCGAUGGAUACUGGCGAGCUAGAGUGUGUCAGAGGAUGGUGGAAUUCCCGGUGUAGCGGUGAAAUGCGUAGAGAUCGGGAGGAACAUCAGUGGCGAAGGCGGCCAUCUGGGACAACACUGACGCUGAGGCACGAAAGCGUGGGGAGCAAACAGG